GAUGCAACGCGAAGAACCUUACCAAGGCUUGACAUACACCAGAACACCGUAGAAAUACGGGACUCUUUGGACACUGGUGAACAGGUGGUGCAUGGUUGUCGUCAGCUCGUGUCGUGAGAUGUUGGGUUAAGUCCCGCAACGAGCGCAACCCUCGUUCUAUGUUGCCAGCACGUAAUGGUGGGAACUCAUGGGAUACUGCCGGGGUCAACUCGGAGGAAGGUGGGGAUGACGUCAAAUCAUCAUGCCCCUUAUGUCUUGGGCUUCACGCAUGCUACAAUGGCCGGUACAAAGGGCUGCAAUACCGUGAGGUGGAGCGAAUCCCAAAAAGCCGGUCCCAGUUCGGAUUGUAGUGUAGUAGUCUAU
rnacentral:rRNA from 1 species